UAUACCCCUGAAGAUGCAGUGGGUUAGAACGAGGCUACUUGAAGAAGAGAAGCACUGAAGAAGUCGAGGCUCAGUAAGACAGGGCAUAAUUGGGCUUUUUAGUCUUUACUCUAUUCUCGUUACACGACAACGAGCAAAGAAGGGCAGCUGUACAAGCCCAAAUAUGCCCGGGCCCAAAUAAACAUAAAAAAGAAUUAAAAAAACAAGCCCAAACAUCAGACCCAACCCACUGACCUAAAACACAAAAAAAAUGACAGAAACCCUAAAACGGCCUCCAACAUAGUCCCCAAUCGCCGCACGUCUCAAAACCGGCCUCCGCGCACGUGCGCCUUUUCCACGACCUACGUACCUGCGAGAAAAGCGAAUCCAACACCA
rnacentral:lncRNA from 1 species